rnacentral:rRNA from 1 species
UGGGGAAUAUUGCACAAUGGGCGCAAGCCUGAUGCAGCCAUGCCGCGUGUAUGAAGAAGGCCUUCGGGUUGUAAAGCACUUUCAGCGGGGAGGAAGGCGUUAAGGUUAAUAACCUUGGCGAUUGACGUUACCCGCAGAAGAAGCACCGGCUAACUCCGUGCCAGCAGCCGCGGUAAUACGGAGGGUGCAAGCGUUAAUCGGAAUUACUGGGCGUAAAGCGCACGCAGGCGGUCUGUCAAGUCGGAUGUGAAAUCCCCGGGCUCAAACUGGGAACUGCAUUCGAAACUGGCAGGCUAGAGUCUUGUAGAGGGGGGUAGAAUUCCAGGUGUAGCGGUGAAAUGCGUAGAGAUCUGGAGGAAUACCGGUGGAGAAGGCGGCCCCCUGGACAAAGACUGACGCUCAGGUGCGAAAGCGUGGGGAGCAAACAGG